rnacentral:tRNA from 1 species
GGGCGAGUGGCGAAAUUGGCAGACGCGCAGGCUUCAGGUGCCUGUUUUCGAAAGGAAGUGGGGGUUCAAGUCCCCCCUCGCCCACCA